AGCAGUUUGUGAAGAUGUUGUCUUAAAGCUCUCUGUGCUGGGCAGCGUCUGAUGUUUCUGCU
rfam:Takifugu rubripes chromosome, Chr_2